rnacentral:lncRNA from 1 species
AUGCUCUCCCUGGAGCAGGGGAAGCAGAACUUGUGGCUGGGCACGGAGGGGCACUGGACGAAGUGCGUGUCCUCCAAGCGUUCGUGGCAGAUGGUGCAGCAGAGGGGCCCGCUGUUGGCCAUGGGCGAGUCGGGAAUGUUCUGCGGGUGCACUUGGUCCAGGCCCGGGUGGGCGGCGGGCGGCGGGGGCGGGGGCGGCGGGGGCCCGGACACCUGCAAGUUCAGGUCGCCGUUGCGCGAUGCCAGGCGGCGCGGGCCCGGCACGGAGGCGGGGGACACGGGGCUGCUGCUGUUCCUGCGGGCGGAGCCGGUGGAGUGGACGGGGCCCCCGGGCGCGGGGAGGGGGUUCCCGUGGCUGAGUGGAAAGAGCACGGUCCGGGGAGUCGGAGGAACUGGGUUCUAAUCCCGGAUCCGCCCCUGGUCUGCUGCGUGACCUUGGGCAAGCCGCUUAACCUCUCUGUGCGUCGGCUACCGCACUUGCAGAAAUGGGGUUGAUGAUUGAUGAUGAUGGCAUUUGUUAACGGCUGACUCGGGGCCAAGCACUGUGCUAAGCGCUGGGAGCCCCGGGUGGGCCUGGCUGAUGACUUCGGGUCUGCCCCAGCGCUCGGCAGCUAGUGAGCGCUUGACCGACACCGUCGGGAUGAUUCCGUGCCGGGCGUCCUGCCAGGGAGGAGCGUCGGGCCGGCCGGGUCCUGGGGAGAGCCGGGGUGCAAACCGCUAGGGAGAGGGGGCUUCGAAAGGGGAGGGAUUCAGUGGGGGGGAGAGGGGGGAGGGUCGCCUCCGGGAGCAGAUUGCCAUCUCGUGGAGCUUUCGGGCGGGGUUUGCCCGAGGCCUGGUGCCAGGGGCUAAGGUCAGCUUGCGCCCUUUCCUCCCACCCCUCGGCGGAGGGGCUUUGGGGAAAAGGAUGCGGAUCCCCCUCCCUCCCCCCCGCCCCAAUCCCCUUCGCCUCCCCUCCCAGUGUCGGGGGAGGGAAACGAGUCCCCCUCCUGUGGACCCCCUCCCCACCCCAGGCUCCUCCAAGAGCCAAAUAAACGCUACUUGCCAGAGAGGCCUUUUUUGGUAACAGUCACCCCCCUCUCCCCCAGCGGGGCAGGCGCCUGGAUUCCCGAGAGCCGCCCAUAACAGUGGGCCUUACGGAAUAGCCCCCUUAAAACAGGACCUGCCCUCGACGAGACCCCCACCCUCCCCGCCAGGCCCAGGACGGGGGUGGCCUGGAAGGCCCGGACUAGGAGGGCACACAGACUUUUUUUUUUUUUUGCUUGGCUUGGUGGGUGAGAGCGGCGAGGGAAUUAGCAGGCGUGGGAGAUUACCAUCUGGGUCAAGACCGAACCGCGAUUGCCUCUGACUCGCUGGACAUGUUCCGUAGCGGAAGUCUGUUGGCUUUUCCGUAAUGAUUAAUCCCGGAUUUUUAUUUAUUUAUCUAUUUUUUUUAAAAAAUUCUCCCUCCAUCCCUCCCCCGCCUUAAACUUUGGCCGGGGCCGAGGUUACGCAAGAGCCACUCGAGCGUGAAAUCCCAGCGACAACAGGGCUGGCAGCAGGGCUGCGAUCUGGAAAUGAGGGGAAAAAAGGGGGGUCGGGGUGGGGGGAGACGCAGACGCCAAGAUCAGGCCAGCCACGCUGCGGGAGGGGGGGAGGGAGACCCCCCACCCCCCAAGAGAGGGAGGAGAUCUGGUGUGUGGGUGUGUGUGGGUGUUGGGGGGGAUGCCAAGAGGCCAAGACCCCAGAGGAGCUCAGGUGCCCCCGGGUUGGCAGUUCCUGUCGCAUCGCUUCUCCCUCCCCUCCUUCUCCUUGCUCUCGUUCAUUCAUUCGGUAGUUUUUAGUGAGCGCUUACUAUGUGCAGAGCACUGUACUAAGCGCUUGGAAUGUACAAUUCGGCGACAGAGAGAGACAAUCCCUGCCCAGUAACGGGCUCACCGUCUAAACGGGGGAGACGGACAGCAGAGCAAAACAGAGCAAAACAAAACCAGUAGUCUGGCGCAGACAUCAUCAAGAUAAAUGGAAUCGUAGUUGCUCCUUCCACUUGUCGGCUGGGUGACCUUGGGCAAGUCACUUCACCUCUCUGUGCCUCAGUGACCUCAUCCCGUUUACACGGGUACUAAAAGUGUGAGCCCCACGUGGGACAACCUGAUUACCCUGGAUCUACCCCAGCGUUUAGAACAGUGCUUGCCACAUAGGCGGCGCUUAACACAUACCACCACCAUCAUCAUUAUCGUGAUUAUUCAUUCAAUCGGGUUUAUUGAGCCUUUACUGUGUGCAGAGCAUUGCGCUAAAUCCUUGGAAAGUACAAUGCAACAACAGAGAGAGACGAUCCCCGCCCACAACGGUCUCACCGUCUAGAUGCGGGGGACAACAAAACAAUUAAACCGGCAUCGAAACCCUCAAUAUAAAGACAAUUGUGUGUGUAUAUAUAUAUACACACACAAUUCAUUCAUUCAAUAGUAUUUACUUACUAUGUGCAGAGCACUCUACUAAGCGCUUGGAAUGUACAAUUCGGCAACAGAUAGAGACAAUCCCUGCCCAUUGACGGGUUUACAGUCUAAUUGGGGGAGACAGACAAAAACAAUAGCAGUAAAUAGAAUCAAGGGGAUGUACAUCUCAUAUAUUAUAUAUAUAUAUAUAUUUAUAUCUGCAUCAUCAUGGAGUAAUAAUAAUAAUGUUGCUAUUCGUAAAGCGCUAUGUGCCGAGCACUGUUCUAAACACUGGGGUAGAUCCAGGGUAAUCAGGUUGUCCCACGUGAGGCUCACGGUCUUAAUCCCCAUUUUACAGAUGAGGGAAUUGAGGCACCGAGAAGUGAAGUGACUUGCCCAAAGUCACACAGCUGACAGGUGGCAGAGCCGGGAUUAGAACCCAUGAUCCCUGACUCCUCAACCGUGCUCUUUCCAUUGAGCCAGACUGCUUCUCUGGAGUAGGGGCUAGAGCACAGGCCUUGGGAGUCAGAAGGUCGUGGGUUCUAACCCCAGCUCCGCCACUUGUCUGCUGGCUGACCUUGGGCAAGUCACUUCACUUCCCUGGCCCUCAGUUACUUCAUCUGUACGAUGGGGAUUGAGACUGCGAGUCCCAUGUGGGACAGACAGGGACUGUGUUCAACCGGUUUUGCCCGUACCCACCCCAGCGCUCAGUACAGUUGGUGGCACAGAGUAAGCGCUUAACGAGUAGCAUAAUUAUGAUGAAUCAUUAAAUAGAUAGAGUAUGUACAUAUAUACACAAG